rnacentral:tRNA from 2 species
GCCGAUGUAGCUCAGUGGUAGAGCAUCUGAUUCGUAAUCAGAGGGUCAAGGGUUCAAAUCCCCUCAUCGGCU